UGAUCCUAUGUCGGAUUACCUAGUUGGUGAGGUAAUGGCUCACCAAGGCGACCAUCCGUAACUGGUCUGAGAGGAUGAACAUUCACACUGGAACUGACACACGGUCCAUACUCCUACGGGAGGAAUCCGUGGGGAAUAUUGGACAAUGGACCAAAGCCUGAUCCAGCCAUGCCGCGUGAGUGAAGAAGGUCUUCUGAUUGUAAAUCACUUUACGUUGGGAUGAAGGGCAUUAACCUAAUACGUUCUUGUUUUGAACGUUACCGACCUAAUAAGGCACCGGGCUAACUUCGUGGCCAGCAACCUCGGUGAAUACCAACGGUGGCAAGCGGUUAAUCUGGAAUUACUGGGUCGUAAAGCUCGCGUACGUGGUUCGUUAACUUGGAUGUGAAAG
rnacentral:rRNA from 1 species